rnacentral:misc_RNA from 1 species
AAGGAUCAUUAACAAGCUGUGAAGGUUGCCCCCGAAAGGGAACAACCUCUCACCCGGCCACCCUUGCUUAUUAACCCGUUGCUUUGGUGGGCCCGCUGUGAGGCCGCCGGGGAAAAGUUUUCCCGGGCCCGUGUCCACCAAAGUCCUACUGAACUCUGCAAAGUUUCUUAUGUUGUCUGAGCGUGAAAGCGCAACCUUUUAAAACUUUCAACAACGGAUCUCUUGGUUCUGG